CGGAGAAUAGUUUAAUAUAUGAAUACUAGCUUUGGGGGUUAGUGGUGGGGGUGUAAGUCCCUCUUUUCCGA
rnacentral:tRNA from 1 species